UAGGGCGGCCACAGUGGCGGGGAACCUCCCGUACCCAUCCCGAACACGGUUGAUAAGCCCGCCUACGUAU
rnacentral:rRNA from 1 species